CCUUUCUCCUUUCUUCCUUCUUUCCUUCCUUUUUUCUUCUUUUCUUCCUUCCAUCCUUCCACCUAUAUUUAUUAAAGUACCUGCCACACAGAAGCCACUGCACUAAUUAUGGAAGACACAAAAACAACAACAAAAAAAAUUACAUAGUCCCUGACCUCAAGGAGCUUACAUUCUAAUAAGGAAAUACUUCAUGCACACAGAUAUGCAAACGUGCAAACACAUGCAAAUUAAUUUCAGUGGGAUCAGGGCACUAACAGCUGGGGCAAUCAGGAAAGGCUUCGUUUUAGGAGGUUGUAGGUGAUAGCUGGUUAAAAGGAGCCUUAAGGGCAGCCUUGAAGGCAAUGAACCUUGAAGGAAGCCAAGCAUUCUAAGAGGCCAAGGUGAGGAGAGAAUGCACUUCCCGAAACAGGAAGGCAGCCUAUUCAAAGGCUUGGAGGUCGGAGAUGGCACUUCAAGUCUGGAGAACAGAAAGCAGGCAAUUUGUCUGGAAUACAGAGUUACCUCAAGGGCAAUACUAUGAAAUUCUUCCACCUCCUGCCCUCUUAGAAGACACUGGGCCUUAGAGGCCUUCAGCUCAGUCCUGUCAUUUGACAGAUGAGGAAUUCACCGCCAAGAGAGGAGAACCAACUUGCCCUAAGUCACCCAGAGAACUGGUGUCAGAACCAGGACCAGAACACAAGUUUUUUCUCUGUACUGAUUGGCUAGCCAGCCGCAUGGGGAUGAUGAAUUUCUGCUAAGGCCUGUCAGACUGCUCAUGACAUCAUAGGAUCUCUGCCUUCAAGUAUUUAGUUCCUAAGAGCUAAUAUUUAUAUACAAAAGAACCUCAAAGAUCACCUGGUCUAACCCUUUUGUUUUCACAGAUAAGGAAACUGAGGCCCGGGGAGUUUAAGUAACCUGACCAAAGUCACACUGGCAGGAAGUAUCCGAGGAAAACUCAGUAAAGACUCCAGCUCAGACAAAAGAGACCCUUGGAAAACAUGACCUUCUGCAGACUUCUUUCCUGAGAGCACUGCCUACAACUUGUCCAGUUUAUCCGGCAGCAUUGUCUCCUUCCCUUUGUGGUUCUUCAAGAUGUGACUCUCUGAGCAGAAAGACACAUAUCUCAUUUGUGGGAAGAAAGAAUAUCAGGUAAUCUGGAAUCAACAAGGUCAACAGCUGCUGCUCCAAGGUAGUUUUUUUUCUCUUUUCCCUAGUGAAAAUUGGGAAUAAGUGACCACAACAAUAAGGGCAGCUAGGUGGCUGCAGUGGAUGGA